AUUGAACGCUGGCGGCAGGCCUAACACAUGCAAGUCGAGCGGUUGAGGUAGCUUGCUACCGAUGCAGCGGCGGACGGGUGAGUAAUACAUGGGAAUCUGCCUGGUAGUGGGGGACAACGUUUCGAAAGGAACGCUAAUACCGCAUACGCCCUACGGGGGAAAGGGGGGGAUCUUCGGACCUCUCGCUAUCAGAUGAGCCCAUGUCGGAUUAGCUUGUUGGUGAGGUAAAGGCUCACCAAGGCGACGAUCCGUAACUGGUCUGAGAGGAUGAUCAGUCACACUGGAACUGAGACACGGUCCAGACUCCUACGGGAGGCAGCAGUGGGGAAUAUUGGACAAUGGGCGCAAGCCUGAUCCAGCCAUGCCGCGUGUGUGCAGAAGGCCUUAGGGUUGUAAAGCACUUUCAGUGGGGAGAAAGGUUAUUCACCUAAUAUGUGAGUAAAUUGAUGUUACCCACAGAAGAAGCACCGGCUAACUCCGUGCCAGCCGCCGCAGUAA
rnacentral:rRNA from 1 species